AGUGAACGCUGGCGGUAGGCCUAACACAUGCAAGUCGAACGGCAGCACAGUAAGAGCUUGCUCUUACGGGUGGCGAGUGGCGGACGGGUGAGGAAUACAUCGGAAUCUACUUUUUCGUGGGGGAUAACGUAGGGAAACUUACGCUAAUACCGCAUACGCCCUACGGGUGAAAGCAGGGGAUCUUCGGACCUUGCGCGAUUGAAUGAGCCGAUGUCGGAUUAGCUAGUUGGCGGGGUAAAGGCCCACCAAGGCGACGAUCCGUAGCUGGUCUGAGAGGAUGAUCAGCCACACUAGAACUGAGACACGGUCCAGACUCCUACGGGAGGCAGCAGUGGGGAAUAUGGGACAAUGGGCGCAAGCCUGAUCCAGCCAUACCGCGUGGGUGAAGAAGGCCUUCGGGUUGUAAAGCCCUUUUGUUGGGAAAGAAAAGCAGCAGGUUAAUACCCCGCUGUUCUGACGGUACCCAAAGAAUAAGCACCGGCUAACUUCGUG
rnacentral:rRNA from 1 species